rnacentral:rRNA from 1 species
AUACGGAGGAUCCGAGCGUUAUCCGGAUUUAUUGGGUUUAAAGGGUGCGCAGGCGGCCAUUUAAGUCAGCGGUUAAAUCGUGGGGCUCAACCCCAUUCUGCCGUUGAUACUGGGUGGCUUGAUUGCGGUCGAGGUUGGCGGAAUUCGUUGUGUAGCGGUGAAAUGCAUAGAUAUGACGAAGAACACCGAUUGCGUAGGCAGCUGACCAGACCGCAAAUGACGCUCAUGCACGAAAGUGCGGGGAUCGAACAGUAUUAGAUACCCUGGUAGUCCGCACAGUAAACGAUGAAUCCUUGUUUUCGGCGAUAUAAUGUCGGAGGCAAAGCGAAAGCGAUAAGUAUUCCACCUGGGGAGUACGCCGGCAACGGUGAAACUCAAAUGAAUUUGCGGGG